AAGCCUCUGAAUGCCCCCAAUGCAUGAAUGUAAACUUCAGGAUGGAGAGCUGGGCUGCUAUCCUACGAGCUUCCAGGAUUGUGUAGUUUCUGGGGAUCCACACUACAACACCUUUGACAAGAAGUACUACACCUUCAUGGGAACCUGUACUUACACACUGGCCAGAACCUGUAGGAACAGCACAGGCCCUUGGUUCUCUGUGAGGCAAAGAAUGAAGAG